CAGCUCCCCACGGCCAUUAAAGCUUUCCAGCCGACCACACGGAUGAACUGGACAUUCAUUCCCUCUUCAUCUCACACCCUGCGCUGGCAGCAGAAUGCAGCCAGCCUCACCCCCAUGCGUGGAACGCAGCAGCGCCUGGGACCAGCAGCACCCCGGUGAGAAGCAGCGCCUUUGCCGGGCUCUCUGGAGCUGCCCGGGACUGGGGAAAAGGACGCAACGCUUCACAUAAUCCCACUUUUACUAAGGCUCAUUUCUGGCUUGUCCCUCCAUCACACAGCACUGAAGGGUUUGCACUGUGGGUUGUGAUAAGUCUUUUGAGUGUGGUAGAAUCAGAAGCAUUGCAGUGGUGGUGAGCACAUCUUACACAACUGAUCCAGCUUCUCAACACAGGUUUCUUAUAAAUAUAAAGAUGAAACCACUUCUGUAAGAAUAAUGUGAUGAUUGCAAGCCUACAGUGAAGACUGAGAAAUUUCUAAACAAGUUUUCUUUUGAUUCAUAAACAAUUUUCUACUAAGUAAACAAAUAAUAUUUUUGCACACUCAGUUGUUUGAUGUACAAAUGACUUGGAAAAAUUAUACUUUUUUCCCUGGAAACAUACCUUUUUGAAGAAAGUAAGUGAAAGAGGCAAUGUCCCCUUCUUAUUAAAACUUUGGAAAAUAGCUGGAAAAAUCA